AUGAACGCUGGCGGCGUGCCUAAUCCCUGCCAGUCGAGCGAACAGACGAGGAGCUUGCUCCUCUGACGUUAGCGGCGGACGGGUGAGUAACACGUGGAUAACCUACCUAUAAGACUGGGAUAACUUCGGGAAACCGGAGCUAAUACCGGAUAAUAUAUUGAACCGCAUGGUUCAAUAGUGAAAGACGGUUUUGCUGUCACUUAUAGAUGGAUCCGCGCCGCAUUAGCUAGUUGGUAAGGUAACGGCUUACCAAGGCAACGAUGCGCAGCCGACCUGAGAGGGUGAUCGGCCACACUGGAACUGAGACACGGUCCAGACUCCUACGGGAGGCAGCAGUAGGGAAUCUUCCGCAAUGGGCGAAAGCCUGACGGAGCAACGCCGCGUGAGUGAUGAAGGUCUUCGGAUCGUAAAACUCUGUUAUUAGGGAAGAACAAAUGUGUAAGUAACUAUGCACGUCUUGACGGUACCUAAUCAGAAAGCCACGGCUAACUACGUG
rnacentral:rRNA from 1 species